CAACCCUCGGGCCCCCGUUGCCCGGUGUUGGGGGACUACGUCGUAGCCCCCAAAAGACAGUGGCGGAGCCGGCCCCGGCCCCGGACGUAGUACAUAUCCUCGUCCGCGGCAGGUCCGGCGUCCCGCCGUGAAACACCCCAAAUCUCAAGG
rnacentral:misc_RNA from 1 species